CCAUUGAUUGUGUUUUUAUGUUCCAUCCCGGAACUAAAGUUCUCUGUUGUGUUACUGCUACGGAAUUUGUUAAUUGACUGUGUGCAAUCUAACUUAAGCAGAUCUUAGUCUGAGUCAUAAUUGUUGAUGGCAGAGGCUAAGAAAGACAGUAAAGGGACUUUCAAGGGACUUUAAGAAUUCAAGAACCUCUUUUCAGGACAAGCAGCCAACGAGUUCUCACGGCGUGACGUGGAUGCAUCGGAGAAAAAGACGUGCAAUGCAAUAAACGCCCGUUUCAAAGAACCAA